AGAGUUUGAUCCUGGCUCAGAAUCAACGCUGGCGGCGUGCCUAACACAUGCAAGUCGAACGCGAAAGUGGAGCAAUCCAUGAGUAGAGUGGCAAACGGGUGAGUAACGCGUGGGCGACCUACCUUUGAGUGGGGGAUAACCUUCCGAAAGGAGGGCUAAUACCGCAUGACAUCCCGUGUUUGGAUACACGGAGAUCAAAGCCGGGGAUCGUAAGACCUGGCGCUUGGAGAGGGGCCCGCGUCCGAUUAGCUAGUUGGUGAGGUAAUGGCUCACCAAGGCGACGAUCAGUAGCCGGUCUGAGAGGAUGAACGGCCACAUUGGGACUGAGACACGGCCCAGACUCCUACGGGAGGCAGCAGUGGGGAAUCUUCCGCAAUGGACGAAAGUCUGACGGAGCAACGCCGCGUGAACGAUGACGGCCUUCGGGUUGUAAAGUUCUGUUAUACGGGACGAAUGGCGUAGCGGUCAAUACCCGUUACGAGUGACGGUACCGUAAGAGAAAGCCACGGCUAACUACGUGCCAGCAGCCGCGGUAAUACGUAGGUGGCAAGCGUUGUCCGGAAUUAUUGGGCGUAAAGGGCGCGCAGGCGGCGUCGUAAGUCGGUCUUAAAAGUGCGGGGCUUAACCCCGUGAGGGGACCGAAACUGCGAUGCUAGAGUAUCGGAGAGGAAAGCGGAAUUCCUAGUGUAGCGGUGAAAUGCGUAGAUAUUAGGAGGAACACCAGUGGCGAAAGCGGCUUUCUGGACGACAACUGACGCUGAGGCGCGAAAGCCAGGGGAGCAAACGGGAUUAGAUACCCCGGUAGU
rnacentral:rRNA from 1 species